rnacentral:rRNA from 1 species
GAUGAACGCUGGCGGCGUGCUUAACACAUGCAAGUCGAACGAAGCAACUUAUUACGAUCCCUUCGGGGUGACGAUUUGUUGACUGAGUGGCGGACGGGUGAGUAACGCGUGGGUAACCUACCUUGUACAGGGGGACAACAGUUGGAAACGACUGCUAAUACCGCAUAAGCGCACAGCUUCGCAUGAAGCAGUGUGAAAAGUUUUUCGGUACAAGAUGGACCCGCGUCUGAUUAGCUAGUUGGUGAGGUAACGGCCCACCAAGGCGACGAUCAGUAGCCGACCUGAGAGGGUGACCGGCCACAUUGGGACUGAGACACGGCCCAAACUCCUACGGGAGGCAGCAGUGGGGAAUAUUGCACAAUGGGCGAAAGCCUGAUGCAGCGACGCCGCGUGAGCGAAGAAGUAUUUCGGUAUGUAAAGCUCUAUCAGCAGGGAAGAUAAUGACGUAC